CUCGACCCUUGCGGAGGACGGACGCUGCCGUGGGCUCCUGGCCGCCGCCGUGGGAACGGUAACUUGGGCCGCCAUCGCGGCUUUCCCUCCCCUCUUCCGCGAGCUCCUUCCUCCCGCGCGUCCCCGCCCAGAGUCCCCCUCCCUCCCGCAGGCUCGCAGAACUUGCUUGCAGGGCGCUGUGGCGCGGAAGGCUCUCCAACAUGCCUGGCCAUCGCCCGCUUUGCUCGGCACGGCGGUCCCUUGGUCUUCUGGACCAGGGUCUCACGACAUCCGGUGCCAUUCCGGAUGUAACAGGGAAGAAAGAGCGGGUGUAGGGCAGUAGAUGUGGUUGUUUGAACCCGCAAGGACUACCUUGUCAGACCGGGAACUUAGGCGCUGCCGGGUCCAUUUAAUGGGAAUCUUGGGCGGUUCUGGUGGCUUGUGCUCAGGGAAAGAGGGAGUUAGGUGCAUAGGUCUUUAACCUAGGCGAAGUGUGCUUGAAACACUCUUUCUUGUCUGGGGACCCUUGCAUCGGGACUCUUAGACUCUUACAGUGACUUAAGACUGGUGAAAAACUGGCAAGCGACACUUGUCAGUAUGAGCUCCAGGCGACACCUCACCUUUACUCCUUGGCCUUUCGGGUUUAUGGGGAAGUAAGUUUAUUAGUAGGCACAGGCGGUGUUUGUAAGCAGUUCACAGGCCUUUCUCUUGAGCUGAGAUAACUGAUAAGGCCCUGGUUUUCUGUUGACAAGCUGUUUCUUCCUUCAGAUUUUGGCCAGCGUAACCUUACACCCCUGUCCAUAUUGUUAAAGCCUAGCAUUACAAUCUGCCACUCUGCAACCUCCUAUAGGACAUGGGCAAAGUCUCUAGUUCCCUCAUGGUGUGAACCUCAGGUGACACUGAUGGGUUGGGUGGCAGCCUCGGGACUUUUUCACUUAAGGAAGUAUGCAUUUGGGCAGGAGGUGAGCCUGUUCAAUGUUGCUGUGUUUGGGAAGCAGGCAGCCUGUUUCCUCAGGAAGACCCACCUCAAUCAACUUGCUUAGCCUGCUUUCUCUUGCUGGGAUAAACACCAUGACCAUAGAGAGGAAAGGCUUUAUUUCAUUUGACGACUUCAGGUCACAGUCUGUCAUUGAGGGAAGUCGAGGCAGGAGCCUGGAGGCAGGAAAUCUGAUUACUCACUCAGCUACCAUUAGUACACAGCCUGUGGAUGGUACCACUACAGUGGGCUGGGCCCUCCCCUCCCACACCAGCCAUUGGUCAAGGCACUUCCCUAUAGACAUAGCCACAGGCCAUUGUGAUCUGGGCAAUUCCUCAAGUGAGAUUUCCUGUUCCCUGGUGAUAUUAGGCUGUGUCAACUUGACC
rnacentral:lncRNA from 1 species